AUUGAGAGACGACACUACCUCGGGGGAGGAGAGAAUCAUGGAGGAGGACUUGGAACGCUUCUUGCGGUCAAGAAAUGUCCCUCACGUGGACUUUACGCACAUGAAAAGCGACAAGGUUGACAUGGCAGUAAUUUCUCUGAUGACUGAAGAGCAAAUGGGCAAAUAUAUCACUUCCUAUGGUGAUCGAAUAGCUGUCCUUUGCUUUUGUCAACAAAAAAUGUCCAGUGGUGAUAAUGAAAUGCUCCUCCAAAGAU